AGUGAUAAACGCUGAAGGCAUCUAAGCGUGAAACAUGCCUCAAGAUUAGAUAUCCCUUGACAUUAGUCAGUAAGGUCACUUGUAGACUACGAGUUUGAUAGGUCAGAGGUGUAAGCGUAGUAAUACGUUUAGCUGACUGAUACUAAUAGACCGAUGGCUUGGACUG
rnacentral:rRNA from 1 species